rfam:Triticum aestivum genome assembly, contig: Triticum_aestivum_CS42_TGACv1_scaffold_406119_5BL
CAAAUACUCCCUCCUUCUGGAAAUACUUGUCAUCAAAAUGGAUAAAAGGAAAUGUAUCUAGACGUAUUUUAGUUUUAGAUACAUCUCUUUUUAUCCAUUUUGAUGACAAGUAUUUUCGGACGGAGGGAGUAGAAA